rnacentral:rRNA from 1 species
AACGAACGUUGGCGGCGUGGAUGAGGCAUGCAAGUCGAACGCGAAAGCCGCAAGGUGAGUAGAGUGGCGGACGGGCGAGUAACACGUAAUCAAGCUACCUGCGAGACGGGGAUAACCUCGGGAAACCGAAGCUAAGACCCGAUGGUUUGCGCGGACCGCAUGGUCCAUGCAAUAAAUGGGCGGGAUCCUCCGGGACCGCCUGCUCGCAGAGGUGAUUGCGGCCCAUCAGCUAGUUGGUAGGGUAACGGCCUACCAAGGCAACGACGGGUAGCCGGCCUUAGAGGGUGGUCGGCCGCACUGGGACUGAGACACUGCCCAGACUCCUACGGGAGGCUGCAGUCGAGAAUCUUCCGCAAUGGGCGAAAGCCUGACGGAGCGACGCCGCGUGGAGGACGAAGGCC